AUCAUCUCCAUCAACAACAACAUCAACUGUUAGUGUAGCAAGAACAACGUCCCAAACCACUGCCCCCGCAGCUUUGUUUAGGCCUUGUACUGCUAGCUCUGGCUGUUUAACUACCGGGGCUUCUUGUAGAAGAAGGGGCUGUGACGGCCUGAUUUGCUACUGUGACAUAGGUUUUCUGCCCACUUACGAUUUUACCUUUUGCGAACCAGCUGCCGUCUUAAACGAGACUUGCGUGACACGGUGUAGUGGAUUGCACACUGUGUGUGAUAUUGAUACCGAGAAGUGUGUAUGUGAGCAAGGCUUCUCUCCGAGCGCUGGUGAUAAAGACUGUACUGAGGAUGGAAAAGCUCUCUUGGAAGAGCCGUGCACUGUUGACAGUUGUGCCCUUUCAACUGAACAGACUUGUGUAGAAGGAGAAUGCAAAUGCAUAAGUGGAAAGCGCAAAGCAACAAUUGCAGAGCUACACGCAUACCCUGACGUUGACCUUCAGUGCAGAGACAUCGGCUAUUUUCUAGAACAAUGUGACGAAAAUAAUUUGCAACAAUUUCCAAGGUUUGAUUUAACACUUAUCGGACGAACAAGUCCAGCUACAACAAGAAGAACAACGGCGGCAGUACCAUUCGUCGCUAUUUUGUCAGCCUGCCUUGAGGACAGUGACUGUCCUGUCGAUGCUUCCUGUAUGGUGCGCUACCC